rnacentral:rRNA from 1 species
UCAUGGCAAGCGUUGUCCGGCUCUGAGCUUGAUCCUGGCUCAGGACGAACGCUGGCGGUAUGCCUAAUACAUGCAAGUCGAACGCUGAAGCACUCUGCUUGCAGAGUGUGGAUGAGUGGCGAACGGGUGAGUAACACGUGGGGAACCUGCCCAUAAGAGGGGGAUAACAUCCGGAAACGGGUGCUAAUACCGCAUAGGUGAUCAUAGCGCAUGCUUAGAUCAUUAAAGAUGGCUUCGGCUAUCGCUUAUGGAUGGCCCCGCGGCGUAUUAGCUAGUUGGUGAGGUAAUGGCUCACCAAGGCUGUGAUACGUAGCCGACCUGAGAGGGUGAUCGGCCACACUGGAACUGAGACACGGUCCAGACUCCUACGGGAGGCAGCAGUAGGGAAUCUUCCACAAUGGGCGAAAGCCUGAUGGAGCAAUACCGCGUGAGUGAAGAAGGUCUUCGGAUCGUAAAGCUCUGUUGUUAGAGAAGAACAAGAGGUGUAGUAACUGGCACCUCCUUGACGGUAUCUAACCAGAAAGUCACGGCUAACUACGUGCCAGCAGCCGCUGUAUCGUCG